rnacentral:lncRNA from 1 species
AAACUUUUUUAGCAUGGGGUUCACUUCUUUUUUUUCCUCCUCAUCUUUUCCUCUAUCAACCAAACAAGAGAAAAUUGAUUUUUCCUUCUUUUUUUUCUUCCACUCAUUUCCAUCAAAACCAAACAUAACCUUAGGCUGAGAAUGAGAUUCUUGGACCCCCACCGCUCAACAAAUUCAAGCACUUCAAGUGAUCUCUCAUCACACCUCUCAAAUGCACUCUUCAACAAUUAUAUAAGGCAAGGGAUACUCUAUGUAAAAGUAAGUUCAAACAAGUUGAUGCAUAGUAUUUUGAAUUGCAAUUGAGCAAUCUAAUCAUAGUUAUCUUAUAGAGUUUCUUUCUAACAAGUAGUUCCUCACUUCUUACCAUAUGUUUACAAUAAUUUAUUAACGUUGUAAAGUACCAACCCUAAAUUAUCUAAUAACUGUGGUUUUAAGAAUGUUUGUGUGAAAAAACAACACAAUCUAAAAAGAAACAUAAUUUGUCUAGAGAAAAAGAUCUAGACAUGGAAUGCUCAAUUUAACAUUAACAUCACUAGUAAUUGAUGAAAUUGUGACAAGAAAUAAGAAACAUAAUACACUAUUUCAUUUACUCGGAUAAUUUUUCUCAUCCUUUCAAUUCCACUUUUGACCUUCACUCUUGUGAUUGCCCCACCACUCACAUGUGCCACCAUUGCCUCAGCAAAACAAACCAAAUCAAACUGGUGGGAACUUUAUAAAGCAUGUAGGUGUUAGACUAAUGACAGUAGUGACUGCGUUGAUGCUCAAGUGAGCAAAUGUUUGGGUCAGACGGGGAGAUAACUGAGUAUAUAUUGGUGGUUAGGAAAUGUUCAGUGGUGGGUAUAAGUGACACAAAUGGUCUCAUCUUAUAAUUAGAUUAUUAUGGCCAAUUCUCAUUAUUCAUCUUCUAGUGGUUUCUUUAUUGUCUUAAUUCUCUUUGGAUUUUGAGUAGUGAUGAUCACUCAGUGACACAAUAGAUCAACCAAUAUGAGUGUGGUAUAAAAACCAAAUCUAAAACUGGUUUUUGUGUCAGUUGUCCUUGAUUGAUGAUACUCUGAUAGCAUGUGUCUGUUGCUGGAUAAGAUCUUCACCAGCGCUGGUGUUGUGAGUUCUAUUGGCUUGGUUGGAAGGACAAAUAUGGGAUUGAGAGUUGAAUAAUGGGACACUUAGUUAAGGAAAAUGCUGGUCUCUGUUCCGUUGACGGUGAAGGUAUGUUUGGUUUCUGAUGGUCAUCAUGAUGUCGAUAAGCCACAAACAACACUUAUGUUCUUUUGUAUAGAGGUGGUUGGUCAGUAUUUGAAUCUUUGUAUUGUCUUUAGGCAAGAGUUGGUCUUGGAUGACCCUGAAAAGGGACAUCAAUGCUCAAGCCAAUAUAAGGGAAGUUUUAGAGAAAAUAUAUAAUGAGAGUAUGUGAGAAUAAAUCUUCCUUGAAUCUAGAUCUUAGGUAUCCUUCAAAAAAAAUUAGUGGUGUAAAUUUUAAAUUAUUUUUAAAUAUUAAUUUAAAUAAUUAUCAAAUUCAUUGUGGAUCUCACAUUUUAGUAAUGGAUUCUCCAGUACUUGAGAGGAUUCAGACUCGUCUCCCUUGUAGGUAAGGAUGAAAAUAUUCAAUGUCACCUAUUAGGGGUCUAUUACAUGAUUUAUAAUAUGCUAGGUCAAAUUAGGUUUUAUUGUGAACAUGUUAGGCUCAAACUUUUUGAAAAGUUUAUUUAGUUUAACAUGUCAGACUUCAGACCAUCCAAAAGGCAUACUAUACCUAAAUGACCAACAUAUUUAGUUAUAUUAUGUAAUAAUAUUCAUAUUAUACAAUUUAAUAUAAGUAAUAUUAUUAUGAGGAGUGAUCCAUUUACACUCAAGUUAAGUUAAACUAGUUACAUUCAAUAUCAUUUUAAAAUCCAAUGGACCAAAUAGGUGGAUGAAAGAGGUGAUGAGAGAAAAAAAGAUGAAUCUUAUAUGACUUUUAAGUUUCACCUCUUUGGUCUAUUAGAUUUUAAAAACUGAAUGAAUAAUAUUGAGUGUAACUUAAUUUGGGUGUAAACGGAUCUCUCCUCAAUUAUUAUAUAUGUAAUUUUAAUAUAAAAAUAUAAUUUAAUUGUUAUGGUUAAAAAAGUCUAGUUAAAAGUAGGUUUAUUAAUCUAUUUAAAUAUAGACAUGAUGACUUAAUUCAAGAUUAUAUUGUAUAACAUGCCUUUAAAGAAGCUAGCAGGUCAAACCAGACCUACGCUUUGAAAUUUUAUUAAAUAUGCUAACAGGGGAGGCUUAGACUCUUAUAUAUUGUAUAAGUUCAAUCUAUUUAAGCAAAAUUUGAUCUGACCUGUUCUGUUUCUACUCUUACUUAUAAGGUUUUCCCUAUUUAUAAGAGAUAGAGUAAGGUGUACUCCAAGGUUGGCGCUUAUGGUAGGCCUCCUGGCCGCACCUGCGUUUAGAGUGACAUAGGGUGCUUUGAUCAUGGCUGACCAUUUUGCUUUUCAUUUGUUCAGAUUGUGGUAACCAAAGACUAGGCUUACUUUUACCGUGUGAGAAAGGUUAAGGCAUGGUCAAUCCUAUGUAAAAAUUGGAAAUUACAUUUAAAUCAUUAGUCAAUCAAUAGAUACGGGUUCAUUAUUUUGCAUACUUUCAUAAAACAUUAUAAUCAUAUAACUCAUGAUGAAAAUACACCAAAAUUUAAAAGAUACUUUUAUAUAUAUUAAUUGUUGAAUGAAUUACCUAAAAGAUAUAGUAAUAAGCAUUGACAUACAUAAGAAAUUAUCUCAUUUAUAAUUUUAUUGCUUGUGCAAUUAACUAGACAACAUCAUGUCAAUUGAAACUAUGUUACACUAUGAGAACACUACUAUUUUUGCAUAUACAUGUUUAAUAACAUGUAAACCUCGAUUUCGUCAUGUAUAAUUACUUAGGAAUUUAAUGCGCACAAGUCAUAGAGUAUCUUAUGCUAAAAAAUAUUAAAAAUAUACAUACUUCCACUAUAUAUAAUGUUUUUCACUUCUACUUUGCAUACAUUAGACAAACAUUCCCACAUGUAAUGGUUUUCUGGACCAAUUGGUCCCAUCUCUACUACUAGGCUUCUGGGUACUCUUUUCAUAUCCAAUUACUAUUUGCACAAAAUUUGUAAUUCAAUCAAGAGAUGAAAUCACAGCAGAUUUUAGUGCCAUCUUUCAAAAUAAUUGCAGCUAGAUUCACCAAUCAAUAUGCAGCUCUGGAAAUUGGUUGUAUGAUUCACUCAAAAUAUACAGAUCACGACCUCCACCGCGUUGAGGGGGUGAAAAGAAACAAAAUGCAACUCCAAAUAUCUAACAUGUUCGUUGUGAAUCUGGGUUGAAGUUUCACUGGUUCUUUAUCUUGUUGGUUUAACAGCUUCAUAAUCAAUCCCAAUAACUUUGUAGAGUUUGGUGAUAGCGAUUAAUAGUGCAAUGUAAACUCAAUCAAAGAAGUUUGCUGGUUCUCCGUCUUGAAGGACCACCGGGAAACAGCUUCAUAAUCCAUCCCAAUACCGUUUCCACCACCUAGUAUGAGAAAAGAGAGAUCAAAUCCAAUUUUUCCGUUUCAAGUUUUUUAUAGAGCUAGCUUUUUCCAAAAAACCACUACUUGAUAGAUUUUCAACAUAGAACAACUAUUUCAAGUCCUAGUGAAGGCUGGGAUUCGUCAAUACUCCAUAAAAUAUAGUUUAGAUUUAGAUAACAAAGUAAACAGACGGAUUCUCCUAUACCCGAAAGUAUGAUAUGUUGUAGUCAUUCAGGCAACAUGUUUAUAUAACAAAAACAAAGCAAACUGAACAUAUAAGUUACCUCAUCACCCUCGUCUGCAUAUGUGGAGUUCUCAUAGAUUGUGUGAGAAUCUGGUUGAUUUGCUGGAAUAUUUUCAUUAACCAUGCUUUGAGCAGUUAAAGCUCUAAUCUUGGAGUCUGGAUUUCAAGUUUGCGAGACAACUCCUUGUUUAUCGCCUUCAAUUCAGAAAACAAACAGAAGAGAUUGCAUGGUGAGACUAAUAGGGAAACAUUAUGCAAUUAUAUACCAGAAUUCGGCAUAAAUUUAAGCCAAUAAAUAAAGCCUUGGAAUGCUAAAUCAAUCUUUUGACAGACUGAUAACACCGGUAAAAGAAUUGCACAAAAGAAGAAGAUUCAAACAAGAUCGAUCCGGAAUCAAUUGAAUUCCGGAUACUAAUACCUCUUUAUUGAUUGCAAGAUUAGAAGAAUACAAUGAAGAACCCUAAUUGAUUCCCUGAAUCAAUUACACACUACAAGGUUGAUUCCCUGAAUCAAAUCCUCUCCUACUCAAUACUUCAAAAGCUAAACUUCUCUAAAACUAGCUCUUUAUUUAUAGCCUAACUAACAACUAACUACUAGGGGUAUUUUUGGAAUCUUUUAACAACUUUCCUAUUUCCCCUUCUAUAUACAUUUUCAAUAUUAGGCUUUGGCUCUGGCCUAACCCUAUCAAUACCCUCCCCUAGAAGAAUUAACUUGUCCUCAAGUGAAAACUCAAGGAACUUGUUCCGUAUAGCAGCUGACGGUUCCCCCUCUUUUAGCAACACUUGCAUGAAGGUACCAUAAGCAAGCUCGGUCCGAGUCAAAGUAGGAUCCCCGAUGAUGGUGAUUACGGAGCCCCCUUUCUUGAGAGUUAAUUCCAUCCUUCCAAAGUAGAUUCAUGGCAAUUUAUUGGAUUUAGAUCGGGAUGAGGAAAAUACAAAGCACUGACACCUAAAGGGUGACCAAGUGCAUGAGACUCCCACUUAGUGGGAUCUAGAGAUAGUAGCGUAUGCAAUCUUACCCUUGCAAGCGAAGAGUGUUUCCGAGAUUUGAAAACAAAAUAUAGUAUGCUUCAAUGAUUUAGGAGAGGGACUUAACAAAAGAAUUUACAUGAAAGUACACAAGAAAAAUUUGAAGCCCAGAUACUCAUAGCAGAAUUAGCACAGAAAUGCGUGAUUUAAGUAAAAGCAAAAGGAACUGCAAUUUGCUAGAAGAAUGGUUCUUCUUUUGCUAAUGUAAAGAAAGUGCUCGCUUAUUAAACAAAAUCACAUCUUGAAUUAAUUACCUUCAUCCUGGAACACUCUGAUGAUUCAGAUGUCAAGGCUUUCGAUAAUUGUUCUUUCUCCAGUGCCAGCUACACAUGAAAAGGUCAAAAAGGUAAAUCUGCUGGGCUUAUAUGAUGACAAGUUAUUACUAGUUUGACUAGGCAUAUGGAAGCAAAAUGGAAGAAAGCAGUAAUUUUUAAACAGUAAUGAGCAAUGAAAGUUGGUGUAUAUUUUACUGAGUCUGAAAUUUUCAAUAGAUUUUUUUAUCUAAAAUAAAAAUUCAAGAAACUAGAUCCUACCUCAGAAAUAAGUGCCUUAAUGUUCUCUAUCAUUCUCAUCUGAUCCUGAGGAAUAUUCACAGGAGAAACUCCAAGAGAUGAGUGGCCCACUUCAGGAACUAAGGACAAACUAGAGGCUUCAGCAUCAUGAACAGCAGCAG